CUACUCUUGACAUCCAGAGAAUUCGCUAGAGAUAGCUUAGUGCCUUCGGGACAGAGGUGACAGGUGGUGCAUGGUUGUCGUCAGCUCGUGUCGUGAGAUGUUGGGUUAAGUCCCGCAACGAGCGCAACCCUUGAUUUUAGUUGCCAGCACUUUGGGUGGGCACUCUAGAAUGACUGCCGGUGACAAACCGGAGGAAGGCGGGGAUGACGUCAAAUCAUCAUGCCCCUUAUGACUUGGGCUACACACGUACUACAAUGGCUGGUACAACGGGAAGCGAAGCCGCGAGGUGGAGCCAAUCCUAUAAAAGCCAGUCUCAGUUCGGAUUGCAGGCUGCAACUCGCCUGCAUGAAGUCGGAAUUGCUAGUAAUCGCGGAUCAGCAUGCCGCGGUGAAUACGUUCCC
rnacentral:rRNA from 1 species